CAGCUUUGACAGCUUCCAAGAUGCACCUCCUCCUCCCUAACCCUAAUCCUCCCUAACCCUAUCCCUCCCUCCCCUUCCCUCUAAACCUGCACUGCCAUGCCCUCCUCCCCCUCCGCUCGUUUCCGUUUCCUGCUUCUUCUUUAUUCCUCUCGUGACUCUCGCCACCCCUUCUCUUCCCCAUGCCUGCAAUCUAACGAACGCAUCACUACCAUCUCCACCCCCGCGUCACUUGCACUGGAACCUGCCCCCUCCCUCGCCUCCCGUUUCUCUGCCUGCCUGCCUCCCAGUUCCAGGAAUACGUAAGUGGAGCUGAUGUGACUACGAUUUUUUUUAUUUGGGAGCUUGUUUAUGAGCAGAUUUCCUCCUCCGCUAGUGCAUGUGCGGUAUCCUUUACACUUACCGUUCACACCAGCGUCGACUGCUCCGUCUGUAGACACACUUUCUUUUUAGGUGAAUAUUGUGGGCAGUCGCAUGUUUCAAAUGCUUGUGCAGAUGUAUGAGAUCAUAGUAAAAUGUGCCGAAGCUACUUGUAUAGAACGCAGAAUUUGCAUCUUAUUUGCAAUGGGUACGCCAAUGCAUUAGGUGACGUAGUGACAUGAUGGGCGUUAUCGUAGUGAAUUAUAGGUUCUCUCGUUUGAGCACCUUGUGUACACUUACGAAUGGAUCAGAUAAAAGCAUUGCCCUACAUUUUCUAAGGCUAAAGAUGUAUUGUGAGAGUGAUACAUGUAUUGUGUAGGAUACCAUUCUUAUGAAGUAGCAACUUAUGUACUUUUGAAAGACUUUGGUAAAAUGUUUGAAGAGAAAGUUUUUGAUACUA